UACGUAGGGGGCAAGCGUUGUCCGGAAUUAUUGGGCGUAAAGAGCGCGUAGGCGGUCCGAUAAGUCGGCUGUGAAAGUCAGGGGCUCAACCCUUGAAAGCCGGCCGAUACUGUCGGACUAGAGUCCGGAAGAGGCAAGUGGAAUUCCCGGUGUAGCGGUGAAAUGCGCAGAUAUCGGGAGGAACAUCAAUGGCGAAGGCAGCUUGCUGGGACGGUACUGACGCUGAGGCGCGAAAGCGUGGGGAGCAAACAGG
rnacentral:rRNA from 1 species